rfam:Cordyceps confragosa RCEF 1005 scaffold_2, whole genome shotgun sequence.
UGUUAUGAUGAUCAAUUCGUAAACAAUAUACGCUGGAAAUUACCGGCUGAGAUCUUUCUUUGAAGAUAUUAAAUGGCUAUGUCUGACA